rnacentral:tRNA from 1 species
GCCUGGUUGGCUGAAUUGGUAGAGCAUGUGAUUCUUGAUCUUGGAGUUGUGAGUUCAAGUCCUACAUUGGGUA